rnacentral:rRNA from 1 species
UACGAAGGGGGCUAGCGUUGUUCGGAAUUACUGGGCGUAAAGGGCGCGUAGGCGGUUUGUACAGUCAGACGUGAAAUUCCUGGGCUCAACCUGGGGGGCUGCGUUUGAUACGUGCAGACUUGAGUUCGGAAGAGGGUCGUGGAAUUCCCAGUGUAGAGGUGAAAUUCGUAGAUAUUGGGAAGGACACCGGUGGCGAAGGCGGCGACCUGGUCCGAUACUGACGCUGAGGCGCGAAAGCGUGGGGAGCAAACAGG